rnacentral:rRNA from 1 species
GCAAUGAUGCGUAGCCGAACUGAGAGGUUGAUCGGCCACAUUGGGACUGAGACACGGCCCAAACUCCUACGGGAGGCAGCAGUAGGGAAUCUUCCACAAUGGGCGAAAGCCUGAUGGAGCAACGCCGCGUGGGUGAAGAAGGUCUUCGGAUCGUAAAACCCUGUUGUUAGAGAAGAAAGUGCGUGAGAGUAACUGUUCACGUUUCGACGGUAUCUAACCAGAAAGCCACGGCUAACUACGUGCCAGCAGCCGCGGUAAUACGUAGGUGGCAAGCGUUAUCCGGAUUUAUUGGGCGUAAAGGGAACGCAGGCGGUCUUUUAAGUCUGAUGUGAAAGCCUUCGGCUUAACCGGAGUAGUGCAUUGGAAACUGGGAGACUUGAGUGCAGAAGAGGAGAGUGGAACUCCAUGUGUAGCGGUGAAAUGCGUAGAUAUAUGGAAGAACACCAGUGGCGAAAGCGGCUCUCUGGUCUGUAACUGACGCUGAGGUUCGAAAGCGUGGGUAGCAAACAGGAUUAGAUACCCUGGUAGUCCACGCCGUAAACGAUGAAUGCUAAGUGUUGGAGGGUUUCCGCCCUUCAGUGCU